rnacentral:pre_miRNA from 1 species
AUUCUACUCCGUCUGUUGCACAAUACAUGCCUUCUAUUUGUCAAAAUAUAUAUGUAUCUAGACAUGUCUUAGUAUAUAGGUACAUCCAUUUUUGGACAAAUGGAAGUCAAGUAUUUUGGAACGGAGGGAGUACACA